rnacentral:rRNA from 1 species
GCGGCGUAUUAGCUAGUUGGUGAGGUAAAGGCUCACCAAGGCAGUGAUACGUAGCCGACCUGAGAGGGUAAUCGGCCACAUUGGGACUGAGACACGGCCCAGACUCCUACGGGAGGCAGCAGUAGGGAAUCUUCCACAAUGGACGCAAGUCUGAUGGAGCAACGCCGCGUGAGUGAAGAAGGGUUUCGGCUCGUAAAGCUCUGUUGUUAAAGAAGAACGUGGGUAAGAGUAACUGUUUACCCAGUGACGGUAUUUAACCAGAAAGCCACGGCUAACUACGUGCCAGCAGCCGCGGUAAUACGUAGGUGGCAAGCGUUAUCCGGAUUUAUUGGGCGUAAAGCGAGCGCAGGCGGUCUUUUAAGUCUAAUGUGAAAGCCUUCGGCUCAACCGAAGAAGUGCAUUGGAAACUGGGAGACUUGAGUGCAGAAGAGGACAGUGGAACUCCAUGUGUAGCGGUGAAAUGCGUAGAUAUAUGGAAGAACACCAGUGGCGAAGGCGGCUGUCUGGUCUGCAACUGACGCUGAGGCUCGAAAGCAUGGGUAGCGAACAGGAUUAGAUACCCUGGUAGUCCAUGCCGUAAACGAUGAUUACUAAGUGUUGGAGGGUUUCCGCCCUUCAGUGCUGCAGCUAACGCAUUAAGUAAUCCGCCUGGGGAGUACGACCGCAAGGUUGAAACUCAAAAGAAUUGACGGGGGCCCGCACAAGCGGUGGAGCAUG